ACAACUCUCGGCAACGGAUAUCUCGGCUCUCGCAUCGAUGAAGAACGUAGCGAAAUGCGAUACUUGGUGUGAAUUGCAGAAUCCCGUGAACCAUCGGAGUCUUUGAACGCAAGUUGCGCCCGAAGCCUUCGGGCCGAGGGCACGCCUGCCUGGGCGUCACGCAUCGCGUCGCCCCCCCU
rnacentral:rRNA from 1 species